rnacentral:rRNA from 1 species
AUACGUAGGGUGCAAGCGUUAAUCGGAAUUACUGGGCGUAAAGCGUGCGCAGGCGGUUUGCUAAGACCGAUGUGAAAUCCCCGGGCUCAACCUGGGAACUGCAUUGGUGACUGGCAGGCUAGAGUAUGGCAGAGGGGGGUAGAAUUCCACGUGUAGCAGUGAAAUGCGUAGAGAUGUGGAGGAAUACCGAUGGCGAAGGCAGCCCCCUGGGCCAAUACUGACGCUCAUGCACGAAAGCGUGGGGAGCAAACAG